GCACCAUAUGAUGAGAAUAAGUUAAUGUUUCUCACGACGGUCGUCUGAGACAGUUUGAUGUCUAGAUUGAUGCAACCUAUUUUUCUCUGAUGGU